ACAUUUAGGUACCUUGAUUCAUGGAUGUACGAUAGGCCAGAAGCUUGAGCAGUUCAUAUUCGACAUAUCCAUUUAAUCCCUGUCCAUGACACUUUUUGAGGUGCUACACGAAGAGGAAUUUGCGCCAGUGAAGAACGCGAAUGGCACAACCUAUGACACCUGAUGCUACUCCAACUGCAUAGCGGAUGGGUAAUUUCUCACCAUUUCCUGUACCCAGAAACUUGUAGAAUUAAAUUACAAGUCAGGCCUUUCAACAUAGAACUUUUAUGAUCAUCUUUCUCAUGAUCCCUUUCCCUCAUAAGCUUCGAGGUUUCUCCUCUCAGCUCCUAUGCCGGAGAAAGCCUUGAGACGAUUUUUCACGGACGAGGAUUCCACAUUCCCGGUGAGAUUUCGCUAUAGGCGCAUCAUGUCAUGGCAGCAGCAACAUCAAAUGGGAGAUGCAAUGUUGCAAGGCCGAAACCUUGGGAUACAUUGGGUUUCGACUUACAUGUUAUAGGAUAUGCGUAGACGAUCCUACAGAGCAGAUGGGCACAUGUAUGUGUGGAGGCUCUGAAAAGAUGAACACAUGAAUACAUACAUGGAAAGAAGGGAUUUUACAAUACCUAGGACCUGGACAGGAAUGCUUGAUGAAAUGCUUCAUAAUAUUUUAGCACUGUUUUUCGGCAGUCCUUGUGGUAGGAAAGUUAUCCAUUCUUCGAAAACUCAUCUACUACUACUCACCUUGUAGAAUUUUUUAUUCUGCUGCAUAUUUGGUUUUAUCAUAAAAUGAAUGGAUUAUUCUGAAAUACAGUGUAACCCCUCCCCCCCUCUCAACGAUUAUUAUUUUAGCAUUUAUUUAUUAUUAUUCUUUUGCCUCUUGCUAUUGCUUGCUAAAGGCACAUGCAUGCACAAAUCUUUCCUCGGGGCCAUUGUUUCUUCUGCAAGCACCUAGCAGUGUAAUUUCAUGAAUCAAAGUAAGAUUCUGCUAUUUGGCCCAAAGAAUUAUCUAAUGAUACCUUUUCCCCUUUCCUUGCUAUAGCUACUGGAUGUUUAUUCUUUUUGAGACAAGAACACUUACUUUUGGCCUACUUAUACUAUCAUGUCGAUUCCUAAUUUAGGAGUGAAUAUGGGCCGUGGACUGCUUUUCUUGCGUUUGCGGUGCGUUUGUUCUUACCCUUUCCAGGUAGAGUAACAUGAAAGAUCAAUAAGUCCUGCUUAAAAGUUUUAUGCACUGUUUGAGCAGUGAUUUUGUUUUUUAUGGUGAGAAUUCCUCGGAUGUUAUUUUUCGCUCAAAUUUUGCAAGAAGCUCAAGCAUUUGAUAAUUAUUUUUGUCUCAAAAUUUCAGAUUUUUUGGAUUUUGUUUUAUCAUGUUUUUUCAGUGUUUUUCGAAAUUCGGUGUACUGCACUCGAGAGUUGUCACACCUUUCUAUAUAUCUCAUGGUUUUGUGGCUUAUGCCUUGGAAGCUUUUUGCCAAUGCACAAGUGCAAAGUCCUUUCAUUUUCCUCCUGUAUCCUCAGUUGCGUACUAUAACAUUUGACUAUGUGUCGUGUUGGUCUCAAUGGGCUGGCACAGUACUACAGACUAUGGCUAAAGGCUAUGUUUACAAACAUAAAAUAAUGAUUCAAAGAAGAGGAGCAGACGGUGCUACGAUAUUUACCUCAAGGUUACGAAUCAAUGAACCGAGGGACUUAUUAUUUGGUGAGGCCAGCGGGGUAUUCCAUUUCCUGCAUUCCCUCUUCAGUAUGCUGACUCCAAUCUCCAGAGUCCUCGAUGAUUCUUUCUUAGUCCAUUUAAAUGGGUAAUUAUUUUUACCAGUUGGUACACGUUUUUCUUUCAAUAUGCACUCUCACAAUAAUAUUUUUUUUCUGUUCUUCAAAUUGAUUUGUUGAUGGUACAAGGGAAUCAUUGAAAAAAUGUCUUCUCAUCAAGGAUUGGAUUGUGUUCUCAUUAUAGAACUUAAUUUAUUAUGUGAGGCAUUUGCCAUUGCAACAUCUUGUCUAGGGUAUAUUUUUUCCAUUAAACUGAACUGCCUCGCAAAAAAAUUGUAUGUAAUACCCUCUUCUCCAUAAAUAAAUGACAUCUGCUUGGGCAGUAGGUCAUGCUUGGCAGAAUCGCCUCCUCCCAGUCUUCAGCACUCCUGCAGGAAUUGAGCGCCAGUGUGGUCGGGACACAUAGAACACCAACAAGCGAAAAAAAACGCACCACUCCAAUAUGCAGCCAGAGUUUGGGCAAUGAUCAAAACAUGGCUUGGUUUACAUGAUGUUCAUCCCACGGACUGGGGAGGCAUGGUUUCCGUCAAGGAGUGGUGGCGCAGCAACACUUACGGGAGGUCGCAAUCUCGAAGGCCGCUUGUUUCCCUUAUUCCUAUCUCUUGGGAAAUCUGGAAUGAGCGAAAUGCUCGGGUGUUCCGCAACAAUGCGACUCCGGUCGUUGUGCUUGUGACACAUCAAAGCGGAGGCAUCAUCGGGGUGCCUUGCCGGACGAAAUAUUUGUGUAAUAUAAUGCCGCGAGAGUGAUUCUUAAAAUCUUCGUCUUAUUCAAUGAAAAUGACAAGCCUUUGGACUUGUUUCAACAUAAUAUGGACCCGAAUGGAGUGAAAUGUUUAAAAUAUGUGCAUACCAUUUCUGGAUUGAGAGAUCUAUUUACUGAUGGCUGGUUUUUAAAGAUGUCUUAUAAAGUUGUGAAAUUCUACGAGAAAAGGCUUGUGAGUGGAAUUAAUGAGGACGGUGCCUGUGAAGUUUCCUCCAUAGCUCUUUUGCAAUCAAUCAUUCGUCUGUUAUUAUGGUUGUUCCAUUGUAUGCAUGCACAUUGGAAGGCAGAAAGUAAUGUUGGCUGGUCGCCGGAGAAGUAAAAAGGCCAACAUCUUGAGCUGUAUGGAGCAUGGUUGUUUUCUUGAAGUUUCUGAUGGAUUGUAUACCAUUGACUGAGAGGAAUCGUUCAUUCAUGAGAAUGGGACAAGAGCAUUGCUAGAUGGAAUUCGGCUGAGUGUAAGUACACAUGAUAGGUGUGUUUUCAUUGAUAGAGGAAGGGUGAGAGCAUGACACUUGUACAGGAAAAAGAAAGAAAUGGAAACCAAAAUUUAAAAGUAAAGAGAAGAAUGCUAUGAUCUCAUGAUAAGAUGUCGGUCACCAGCGAGCACCCACAUGAGCAAACCUAUAAUAGGUCCUAAGACACAUAAUAUGUGAUUAAGGGGCAUAAUUGGAUUAUGAGUUUGGACCA